rnacentral:lncRNA from 1 species
GAGGUUANCUGGACAUUGGUGAAGAUAUACAGAUCGCCACAUAUGUUGCUCGAGUACACCAAUCCCGACUAGGCUCGUUAAAUAGAACCCUUCUUGCAUGGAUGGACAAAUUGCUGACAAUAGGAUCGACUAACAUCCAUCUGAAGAUAGAGAUAUACUAACAGUGUUCUAUCGGUUUUUCACACCUGUAGUUUUCAGUGAGAAGCUUCUCGGCUUGUAUUUUUUCUAUGUCAAGAAGUAUCUCUAAAGCAAGUAUGGAUGUCUGUUGGAAUUUAUUUAUUUCCGAUUGCAUUUUUGAGGCACUGGAAAUGUGUAAAUAUCAUCUGAGAGAAUACUGCAUACAGCCUUCUGAUGCAAAGUGUAAAAAGAUGCUAAUCUCCUAAGUCUCUUGUUCAUUUUCACUUACAAAACUUGAGAGUGGUGGUAACCAUAUCCAUAUGUAGAUGGAGUUGAAAAUUCUCCCAUAUCAAUUGAAGCAUAACAAUUUUUAUUUUUAUUA